UACGUAGGGGGCAAGCGUUGUCCGGAUUUAUUGGGCGUAAAGAGCGUGUAGGCGGCUGGGUAGGUCCGCUGUGAAAACUCGAGGCUUAACCUCGAGACGUCGGUGGAAACCAUCCAGCUAGAGUCCGGAAGAGGAGAGUGGAAUUCCUGGUGUAGCGGUGAAAUGCGCAGAUAUCAGGAAGAACACCCGUGGCGAAAGCGGCUCUCUGGGCCAUUACUGACGUGAGGAGCGAAAGCGUGGGGAGCGAACAGG
rnacentral:rRNA from 1 species